AAUAUAAUGAAACAAUGAAAAAUAAAGUGCUUUAAAAGUUUAGAGAAGGAAAGUAUAGUGUUAAAGGGGUUCGGGGAGAUUUCAUCAAUGGAACGGCACAGGGAAACGGCUUUCAAGGAGAAGAAAUAUUUCACAAAAUGAAGAGACAAAAAGGGCCAACAAAUUCAGCAUAAGACAAUAUAUUAAUGGAGGAAAAGUCAGCAUGUUUGGGAAAUGUGGAGUUCAGGUUAGUGAAGGGCUGGAUCUUUGUAGGCAGAGAUAAAAUGGGCAAGGAACAUUUGCAUGAAGUAAUUUUAUUUAAUUAGGAGCAUUAUGAGGAAUCACAGCAAUUUUUUGAAAGAGUAAUGAUAUGAUCAAAGUUAAUUAAAGUUAUGAUCUUCAGAAAAAUUAAUCUGGCACUGUGUACAGAAUAGAUUGGAAUCAAAAGGAACCUGGAGGUGGGAACACCAGUUGGGAGAAUGCAAUGAUAGCAAGUAUUUGUUGAGCACUAAGUAUGUGAUAGAUUUUCUUAAUCAGUCCUUAUAACAAGCCUAUGAAAUGGGUACUAUCAUUACUGCAUUUUACAAGUGAGGAAACAAAG
rnacentral:lncRNA from 10 species